CGCGUAGGUGGUUUAGUAAGUCGGAUGUGAAAUCCCCGGGCUUAACCUGGGAACUGCAUUCGAUACUGCUUAACUAGAGUAUGGUAGAGGGAAGUGGAAUUCCGGGUGUAGCGGUGAAAUGCGUAGAUAUCCGGAGGAACAUCAGUGGCGAAGGCGACUUCCUGGACCAAUACUGACGCUGAGGUGCGAAAGCGUGGGGAGCAAACA
rnacentral:rRNA from 1 species